CAUGUCCUUUUGAUUUUGAUUUAAGGUCUGAUCUGCUCAAUGAUAAUUUAAAUUGCCGCAGUAUUUUGACUGUGCAAAGGUAGCAUAAUAAUUAGCUUCUUAAUUAGAAGCUGGAAUGAAUGAUUGGACAAGAAAAUUUCUGUCUCUAUUUAAUUGUUUGUUGAAUUUUAUUUUUAAGUUAAAAAGCUUAAAUGUGUGUAAAAGACGAGAAGACCCUAUAGAGUUUGAUAUUUCAAUUUUAUUUUAUAAUAGAAUUUUUUUUUGAGUUUGAGGUAUUUAAUUGGGGUGAUUUAAAGAUUUAAAUAAUUCUUUAAUUUUUUUAUUGAUGAUAAUUAAAUUUUAAGCCUAUAAUUUUAAGUUUAAUAUAAAUUACCUUAGGGAUAACAGCGUAAUUUUUCUUUAAAGUUCUUAUUAAAAGAAGAUUUUGCGACCUCGAUGUUGGAUUAAAAUUAAUUUUUGGUGCAGUAACUUAAAAAUUAGGUCUGUUCGACCUUUAAAAUUUUACAUGAUCUGAGUUUAAACCGGUGUAAGCCAGGUUGGAUUCUAUCUUUAAAUUAUUAAUAUAUUUUAGUACGAAAGGACCAAAUAUGUAUUAGAUUA
rnacentral:rRNA from 1 species